rnacentral:rRNA from 1 species
GGCCGAGUUGUAAUUUGCAGAGGAUGCUUUGGAUUUUGUUCUGAUAGAAGUUCCUUGGAACAGGACGUCAUGGAGGGUGAAAAUCCCGUAUGCUACCAGAAAUUAAUUUCCAUGUAAAGCUCCUUCGAAGAGUCGAGUUGUUUGGGAAUGCAGCUCUAAGUGGGAGGUAAAUUUCUUCCAAAGCUAAAUACCGGCUAGAGACCGAUAGCGCACAAGUAGAGUGAUCGAAAGAUGAAAAGCACUUUGAAAAGAGAGUUAAAAAGCACGUGAAAUUGUUGAAAGGGAAGCGCAUAUUGUCAGAUCAGAUUCUGGAUAUUCAGCCUUACGGUUUAUUUGUUCUGAGUCUAGCUAGCAUCAGUUUGGGCAGUUGGAUAAAAGUUUCGGGAAUGUAGCUCACCUUCGGGGGAGUGUUAUAGCCCGAUUCAGAAUGCAACUUGUUCAGACUGAGGUCUGCUUAUAGGAUGCU